CUGUUGUCUAUUCGGAGUCAGGGGAUAUGGGGAGAAGGCAGGAGAAUGGGGUUGAGAGGGGAGAUAGAUCAGCCACGAUUGAAUGGCGGGAGUAGACUUAAUGAGCCAAAUGG